rnacentral:rRNA from 1 species
GACGAACGCUGGCGGCGUGCUUAACACAUGCAAGUCGAGCGGUAAGGCCCUUUCGGGGGUACACGAGCGGCGAACGGGUGAGUAACACGUGGGUGACCUGCCCUCAGCUCUGGGAUAAGCCUGGGAAACUGGGUCUAAUACUGGAUAUGACUCCACGGUGCAUGUCGUGGGGUGGAAAGCCUUGUGCGGCUGAGGAUGGGCCCGCGGCCUAUCAGCUUGUCGGUGGGGNGAUGGCCUACCAAGGCGACGACGGGUAGCCGGCCUGAGAGGGCGACCGGCCACACUGGGACUGAGACACGGCCCAGACUCCUACGGGAGGCAGCAGUGGGGAAUCUUGCGCAAUGGGCGAAAGCCUGACGCAGCGACGCCGCGUGAGGGAUGACGGCCU